GAUGAACGCUGGCGGCGUGCCUAAUACAUGCAAGUCGAGCGGACAGACGAGGAGCUUGCUCCUCUGACGUUAGCGGCGGACGGGUGAGUAACACGUGGAUAACCUACCUAUAAGACUGGGAUAACUUCGGGAAACCGGAGCUAAUGCCGGAUAAUAUAUUGAACCGCAUGGUUCAAUAGUGAAAGACGGUUUUGCUGUCACUUAUAGAUGGAUCCGCGCCGCAUUAGCUAGUUGGUAAGGUAACGGCUUACCAAGGCAACGAUGCGUAGCCGACCUGAGAGGGUGAUCGGCCACACUGGAACUGAGACACGGUCCAGACUCCUACGGGAGGCAGCAGUAGGGAAUCUUCCGCAAUGGGCGAAAGCCUGACGGAGCAACGCCGCGUGAGUGAUGAAGGUCUUCGGAUCGUAAAACUCUGUUAUUAGGGAAGAACAAAUGUGUAAGUAACUAUGCACGUCUUGACGGUACCUAAUCAGAAAGCCACGGCUAACUACGUG
rnacentral:rRNA from 1 species